UUACUGUAAAGGAACCCAUUUUCUAAAUCUGCCGCGCGUGACUUAAUCUUUGUUCAUCAUUUAAAAUUUUUUUUUUAAAAAAAUUAGUGAUUUUUCUUUAUUAAAGUUAACAAAUCUAGUUUCUUUUUAGAAUUGAACAAUUUUGUCUGGAGGAGAAAUCGUGUUUUACCCUACAUUCAUGAAACUAAAUUGUAGUUUAAUUAAAAGAAUGUGAAAUUGUUGAACAAUGUGUGGUGAAUCUGAAUAAAAAUUCUACUGAGUUUUCAUGAAAAAUAUAUACUUCAGAGUUUGUUACUCAGACGUUUCAACCCAUUUGCUUGAAAUUUCUUUCAUCAUACUUCACCACUUUGAAAAAUUAAAAAAAAAAGAUACUUUCAAUACUCUAAAUGAUGCGAAAAAUCUUUAUAAUUACGAGAAUACAACUAUCUUUUGAAAUGUCUCCUCGAAAAAUAUAACAAAUGGUUCAGUCUAUGAAUACAAAAUAAAAUGGAUAAGUAUUUAUAUUUUACGUAAACAACAUAAAGUAAUACCGUUAAUACAGAGAGAAUUACAGCAUGAAGGGUGAACAGAAGGUAAUUACGGUCUGUAAUGUUCAUCUGAAGAACAGCUUAAAAAAUUUCCUUGAUAAAUUACACAACUUCAAAAAUUUAAAAUAAAUUUAUGUUAAACUGACCGACACUGAACGUGCUUCACACUUCAUGAGAGUUAACAUCCGGAGGGUGCAGCAUGUAUGAUAUACAGGUGCUUACAUGUAUGCAGAUGCCAACAAAUACGUAGAUUCUGGAAUGAUCGUUAUUAAUUAGAGGAAGUUAAAAAAAUUACAUUGCUUCUGUCGGCACGUGACUCAUUGAUCUAACAAUGAUGCAGCUUCAUGGUAUUGAUAUAUUUUAAUCCUUUGCUGAAUAAGUAUCCAUAAAGAAAUUUCACAUUGGAUUUGGAUUAUGAUUGGAAAUGUAUAUAAUCAAUUAGGUAUCAUUUAAGUAUAUGAGUUAACUAUCUGUAUUCAUCUUAUUGACUAUUCUUUAUAAUGGAUAUAUGAUCAUCGAUCUGAUGAUAACAAAUUAUUACUAUU